AUAGGAGUGGAAACCCUCUACGCGCCCGAUCUCGUCUGAUCUCGGAAGCUAAGCAGGGUCGGGCCUGGUUAGUACUUGGAUGGGAGGAGUGGAAACCCUCAUUCUUUAC
rnacentral:rRNA from 1 species